rnacentral:rRNA from 1 species
CCUACGGGAGGCAGCAGUGGGGAAUAUUGCACAAUGGGGGAAACCCUGAUGCAGCGACGCCGCGUGAGUGAAGAAGUAUUUCGGUAUGUAAAGCUCUAUCAGCAGGGAAGAAAAUGACGGUACCUGAUUAAGAAGCCCCGGCUAACUACGUGCCAGCAGCCGCGGUAAUACGUAGGGGGCAAGCGUUAUCCGGAUUUACUGGGUGUAAAGGGAGCGUAGACGGCAGCACAAGUCUGGAGUGAAAUGCCGGGGCUUAACCCCGGAACUGCUUUGGAAACUGUGCAGCUAGAGUGCAGGAGAGGAAAGGGGAAUUCCUAGGGUAGCGGUGAAAGGCGUAGAUAUUAGGAGGAACACGAGUG